GAUGAACGCUGGCGGCGUGCCUAAUACAUGCAAGUCGAGCGAACGGACGAGAAGCUUGCUUCUCUGAUGUUAGCGGCGGACGGGUGAGUAAAACGUGGAUAACCUACCUAUAAGACUGGGAUAACUUCGGGAAACCGUAGCUAAUACCGGAUAAUAUUUUGAACCGCAUGGUUCAAAAGUGAAAGACGGUCUUGCUGUCACUUAUAGAUGGAUCCGCGCUGCAUUAGCUAGUUGGUAAGGUAACGGCUUACCAAGGCAACGAUGCAUAGCCGACCUGAGAGGGUGAUCGGCCACACUGGAACUGAGACACGGUCCAGACUCCUACGGGAGGCAGCAGUAGGGAAUCUUCCGCAAUGGGCGAAAGCCUGACGGAGCAACGCCGCGUGGGUGAUGAAGGUCUUCGGAUCGUAAAACUCUGUUAUUAGGGAAGAACAUAUGUGUAAGUAACUGUGCACAUCUUGACGGUACCUAAUCAGAAAGCCACGGCUAACUACGUG
rnacentral:rRNA from 1 species